rnacentral:rRNA from 1 species
UACAGAGGUCCCAAGCGUUGUUCGGAUUCAUUGGGCGUAAAGGGUGCGUAGGCGGCGCGGUAAGUCGGGUGUGAAAUCUUGGAGCUUAACUCCGAAACUGCAUUCGAUACUGCCGUGCUUGAGGACUGGAGAGGAGACUGGAAUUUACGGUGUAGCGGUGAAAUGCGUAGAUAUCGUAAGGAAGACCAGUGGCGAAGGCAGCACUCUGGGACGUGACUGACGCUGAGACGCGAAAGCGUGGGGAGCAAACAGG